UUAACACAUGCAUAUAUAAGAUGAAUUUUUGUGUGAUUCUGGAUCCGGGGAUGACUUUUACAACUGGAACAGUUCAUAAAUCAUGCUCAAGUGGAAAGAGGUAAUCACCAAAAACUCUUAUUGCAUCGGUAAGUAUGAAAGCUUCAAUAAGUAUGAAAAUUUCUAUAGCUAUUUUCUAGAGCUUUGAGAAAAGAAACUGACGGUUCUUUUUGUUCCAAUUAUGCUUAAAUUGAGUGUUGUCAGCCCAUGCCUCCCUAAUGGUUAUUGUGUUCUAUAAAUUGUCCUAAAAGGUUUGCUACAUAUGCAACUAUGUGUACCUUCACAUUCUGUUACAAUCUCGUUCUUUUUGGCAGUGUCUUCUCGAUAGGCUGUCUGUGUAGCUUUGGUCAUAUGUGCUUGACUCGAUCAACCUUCAUAAUUGAAAGUUUGGUCAAGUAAUAAUGUCUUCUUGCGGAAAUUAUAGGCUUUUUCUUUUUCAGCCUUUUCAUUUGAUUACGAAGCUGAUUCUUAAUCAAAUAAGUGUAUCUACAGUCAUUUUAAUGGAAUCAGUCAAAUCUAUAUCAUUAUAAAGAAUAUCUUGAAGAUUCCUAGGAGUAGGAAAGAUUUUAGAUCUAUCAUGUCAUCUUUAUGUAAUGAGUCAUGGUUGGUGCGGACCUGUGGAUUGAGUAACAGGUCGGAUGCCUAAAGAUUAAUAAAUUAGUUCAGAGAUGAAGGUGCAGAAAUAUUACUUGACCAUCGAUGUCGGCCUUUUGGCAUCUGAUUUGUGCCUUUUUUAUCAUUGUUGCCCAUUAGUGUGGACUCCAAGAUGAACUCGAUGGGGAAAAUAAUUUUUUACUAUUCCAAGAAUUUCAUUUUAGAUGGCAUCAAUAAGAUGGUGUGUGAUUUAUGCCACUUUUCUGUCAGCAUACCUUUUCUCUGAGUUAAUCGAUCUUUUACAAUUUAUUUAAAUGCAAGAAAGGACUCAGCUAGCUAGAGCAGAAACCAGUGCUGAUUUUUCAGGUAAGCUCACUGAGAAGAGUGAUGUUUGCAUUUGGAGUGAUCUGCUGGAACUUGUGAUGGGAAGAAAGCCGGUUGACAAAACAGCACCAUCUCAAUGCUAAUCACUUUUGACUUGGUAGUCGGAAACACAGUGGAUCUCAAACACUGGUAUCAAGCUUGUCAUCGGGCUGAUGUAUAGUGCUCUCUGAUCUGUCAGAAUGUUCAUUGUUGAUGAAUAUAUUAGGUCAGGGUGGAGGCUGCUGCCGUAGCUGUAUUGCUUGUCAACUCCAAUAUCUAAAUCUCUUCAUUGCAGAUAUCCCCUGUUCUUUUUGUGUAUUGUACAUGUAUUAGCGAGCUUUCUGUAUCACUUUUAAUCGAAUUUGGUCACUUGUACAGUUGAGAGGAGAUAGAUUGCUUAAAGGAAGAACCGUUUUGUCA